rnacentral:rRNA from 1 species
AGGGUUUGAUUCUGGCUCAGGAUGAACGCUGGCGGCGUGCCUAAUACAUGCAAGUCGAACGCGAGUGCUUGCACUCGAGUGGCGAACGGGUGAGUAAUACAUAAGUAACCUGCCCCAGACAGGGGGAUAACUGCUGGAAACGGCAGCUAAAACCGCAUAGGUACAGAGAUCGCAUGAACUUUGUAUUAAAGGUGCUAAGGCAUUGGUAAGGGAUGGACUUAUGGCGCAUUAGCUAGUUGGUGAGGUAGAGGCUCACCAAGGCGACGAUGCGUAGCCGGCCUGAGAGGGUGGACGGCCACACUGGGACUGAGACACGGCCCAG